rnacentral:rRNA from 1 species
CAGUAGCCGCGGUAACACGUAGGGUGCAAGCGUUAAUCGGAAUUACUGGGCGUAAAGCGUACGCAGGCGGUUAUAUAAGUCAGAUGUGAAAUCCCCGGGCUCAACCUGGGAACUGCAUUUGAGACUGUAUGGCUAGAGUGUGUCAGAGGGGGGUAGAAUUCCACGUGUAGCAGUGAAAUGCGUAGAUAUGUGGAGGAAUACCGAUGGCGAAGGCAGCCCCCUGGGAUAACACUGACGCUCAUGCACGAAAGCGUGGGGAGCAAACAGGAUUAGAUACCCCAGUAGUCCCUGUCUCUUAUAC